GUGCUGUCAGCGUGUCCACAGGUAACUUCACUCUGUGAGUGUGAAGAUGUGAGGAUGAUGAACACUAUUGUGGAUCUGAGUCUCCUAGGAAACGGGGAGUGUACCUGUACAUCCAGGUAUGUGUGCUGUAUGGCUGGAGAAAGAGCCCGCGCUACUGCAUCUGUCUGCUCAGGGUGUUAAUGUCAUGAGGUGGGAGUGAUGUCGGUGUGGUCCGGCGCCGGAUCUCAGAUGAUGCCAAACUGGGCCAGCUCGUGCAGCUCCAGGUGGCUGAAGGCCUCCCACGGGCACACCACCGUAAAGUCUGCGGUGGAAUGUGGGCUGUGCUGCAUCAGGGAGUCGGGCAGGUGAGUUUAAAUACCCUCCUUGCUGGGGCAGCCGCUGCGUCCACUCCCACCACAGUUGGGGACGCCAGACUGUGAUUAUCUCGGAAAACAAUCUGGAGAUUCUUGACCUGGAGGGUUUUGUCCCCACACAGCCACACAGCACAUCGGGUUCAUUCAGUAAUCCUGAUCAGUGAACAGAAAUGCCACCUGCUUUACAACCUGUUGUGGAUUAUUUGUGCAUGCACCAAAACAAUAUUCAUCACACUUUAAAAGGGCUUCAAUGAAGAAUAUUCCUACACAACUUUGAAAUAGUGACCUUUGUGUAUUUGUCAUUACACUGUCUGUGCAGCACAGAAUAAGUGCAACUGCUUAAAUUAUACUCUUGGGUGUAAAAUGAGUUGUGUAUUCAAACAUAUUUUAUUGGGAUGAGCAGGCAUUGAAUAUAGUUG